CUAAGAAUCAUUUCAGGAUCAUGCCUGGGGACUGAGGGAAAAAUUGGGGAGGAAAACCAAAAGGAAGGCAUACACAUGAAAUAAACAUCAAGUACUCUUCUGCAACUGCUCAAGGCAUCCAUUGUGACACCCUGGCAAUCAGCGCUCCAGGAAGAGGCAGGCACAAACCUGCCUGGGAAUUGUAUAAGAACCUUCCAGCCAUCCA
rnacentral:lncRNA from 1 species